rnacentral:rRNA from 1 species
AUUGAACGCUGGCGGAAUGCUUUACACAUGCAAGUCGAACGGUAGAGGGGGCAACCCCUCGAGAGUGGCGAACGGGUGAGUAAUAUAUCGGAACGUGCCCAGUCGUGGGGGAUAAUGUAGCGAAAGUUACGCUAAUACCGCAUACGAUCUAAGGAUGAAAGCGGGGGAUCGCAAGACAUCGCGCGAUUGGAGCGGCCGAUAUCAGAUUAGGUAGUUGGUGGGGUAAAGGCGCACCAAGCCAACGAUCUGUAGCUGGUCUGAGAGGACGACCAGCAACACUGGAACUGCGACACGGUCCAGACUCCGACGGGAGGCAGCGGUGGGGAAUUUUGGACAAUGGACGCAAGUCUGAUCCAGCCAUUCCGCGUGCAGGAUGAGGGCCCUCGGGUUGUAAACUGCUUUUGUACGGAACGAAAAGGUCUCUCUUAAUACGGGGGGCUCAUGACGGUACCGUAAGAAUAAGCACCGGCUAACUACGUGCCAGCCGCCGCAGUAA